AUGAGUUUAACCCAUUCUUUUCCAGGCUAAACCCAAUAGGGAGUUUAUGUUUCCAGGCAAAAAGGAAGGGAAGAUUUUAUUGUCUUCUUUUCUGGAAUGAAAAUAUCACCUGUUUCCAAGGCAUCUAUGGUGGACUUCAUCUUUGCAUUUUCAGUAACUGUCACAGUGCCUAGAAGGCCUUCCAAAAAUAUUUAUUAAACUGAAAACAUGAACCAAGUUGUUAAUGAAGCUUCAACUUUUCCCUCACCUGUCCCAUCCCAUUUGCACAUUAGGAAAAACAUCUAACCAACGUGAUUUGAGUGAGUUCUGCUUCCCAUCAGCUCAAGUAGCUUCUGUUGAGUCAACUCUCAUGAAAAUAAGACCAUAAACUGGGGACAAAAUAUUUUAAAAACUAAUUACCUAAAAGUACUAGAGACUAAAGAAAAACACCCAGCUACUAGAAGAGGAUUGAUUUGUGGACAAAGUGAAUGGUACAGGGUAUAGUGUUUUUUUUUUUUGUUUUUGUUUUUAAAUUGUUCGUAGAUUUCAGCAUGAGGGCAGCUUCUAAUCUGUACCCCAGGAUGAAUUAAAGAAAUGAAAAAUGUCAUCUUACUAGCCUGAGAAUCAAAAUACAGAAUUCAGAGUAACCAAAGCUCCUAUAAAGCGAGGAGAAAAUCCUGAACAGGAGUGAGAGAAUGAAGACCCUAAAUCCUGUUUAUAAAUUACUUGAAUCUCUCUCUGAUCUUUAAACCAUUCAUAAAUAACAGGGAACUGCUUCAAAACAACCAAGCAGCACACAUUCUUUUGAGGAACAUAACAGAAUCCAAAGUUUCUAUAACAUAUUUUUCCACAAUGUUGGGAAUAUAAUCCAAAAUUAAUUAAUAUAUGAAGAAACAAGAAGACAUCAUCUGUACAUAAAGAAAAGCAAAAAUUAUAACAUUAUUAUAUGGGAUUCAUAAUGUAUAUGGAUGUAAUACAUAUCAGAACUAUAACGUAAAUGUUAUGGUUUGUUAGAUUUAAAAUGAGAUAAUAUAAUAUUAAUUCAAAAUUGGCUGUGAAAAGUUAAGAAUGUGUAUUAUAAUCCCCAGAGCAAACACUAAAAAUAAUGUGCAAAUAGGUAUGGCUAACAAGUUAAAAAAAGAAUUAAAAUGGAAUCUUAUCUUUCAAAUAUGAUUACUGUCUUUCGGAUAUGAUUCUACAGCAGAUUAUUAGGUCCACCCAAAAGCAGUUUAUAACCGCAGAAUAAAAAGAUAGCAAAAUCCAGAUGUGAACAUCCUAAAAGUUUCCCUAGAGACAAGACCCCUCCAGCCUUAAUUAAAACAACAAGGAAAGAAAUAGAAUUCAGGAGGGACAUCCCGGAUUUAGGGACACAAGACUAAGGGCACAUAAACAAAAAGUUCAGAGUUACUGGAGCAGGAGGGUUGGCAACGCAUAAGAAACUCCUAGUUUUAGUCUGCUUCCUGCAGCUGUUUUCCCUAGGUCUUAGGGAAGGCUAAUAAGGCCGAGGGAGGUGAGAGCCAGCCACAACCAACUGCUACCAGCACUUUGAACUAAUUUGGGUAAACAAGUGGCUAAGAAUUUUGCUAACUUCACUUCCAAGAUACUGCAGGAAGGAAAACAGCAAAACAUUAUUGUUGUCCCUCUUUCAACCUAGUGUUUUUGCACCUGUAUUGAUGUGUCACAAAGCAGGGGAAGUUGCAUAACCUAGUUGCAACCAAUCCCUGAGUUUAGUCACAUACUCCUUUGGGAUACAGUUUCCAAAUAAGUUGUGUAUUUCAAAAUCAAUAGUUGUGAGGGCAUGAAGGUGCCUGAGAAGUUCAUACUAUGCUAGCCACAAAUUCCACAUUAUUAAUAUUGUUUAGACAAGGAAUUGCAAAGAUUGAAGAUGGUUCAGUGAUACAAAUUACACUAAACUCUAAACCAUAUGUAAGCACAUGGGAAACUCCUUCACAUGGUUUUCUGGAAUCUACAUGUCUGACUCAGUCUUAAAGGUAAUCAAGUCUUGCCCAGUUCUGAUUCAGCACUGUACAGAGAACAUAUUCCUUACCCAAGGGAUUAUGAUUUGAGAGUUUCUGGGGGAGAAGGCUGAAAGAUAAGUAAUAGAAGGACAGUGUAGAUUCAAGAUUAUUUUAAAUUUUUACUGGUUUAUUUAAUAGGAUGUUUCAGAGGGCAGAGAUGCCAUCCUUGAGGAACCGCCACAUGCUCAAUUAUUCAGAAGCUCUCUAGACCCUGUCUUUGGGUUUUUGUGGGGACUCCAUUACAUAUACAUGAUUGGUUACAUCCUUGGGCACUGAUGAUCGAUUUAUCCUUCAGUCAAGAGGACGACAUAAAGUAAAAUACUGGCUAUUGUAUCUUUGUAUCUCUAAAAUGAGGAGAAUAAGAUAAAAAAUUUAAGGGUGCUCCAAAAACCCCAGUAAUCAAGAGAAACAUUGCCAUGUAAUAUUUUUUAAAGUAAAAAUUCAUGUAAAAAUGCGCAAUAAAC
rnacentral:lncRNA from 1 species